GGUGAACGCUGGCGGCGUGCUUAAGACAUGCAAGUCGAACGGGCUCUUCGGAGCCAGUGGCGCACGGGUGAGUAACGCGUAACUGACCUACCCCAAAGUCGCGGAUAACGAUUCGAAAGAAUCGCUAAUACGUGAUGUGCUGUCAGAUCCUGUUCUGCCAGUAAAGAUUUAUUGCUUUGGGAUGGGGUUGCGUUCCAUCAGCUAGUUGGUGGGGUAAAGGCCCACUAAGGCGACGACGGAUCGCCGGCCUGAGAGGGUGGCCGGCCACAGGGGCACUGAGACACGGGUCCCACUCCUACGGGAGGAAGCAGUUAGGAAUCUUCCACAAUGGGCGAAAGCCUGAUGGAGCGACGCCGCGUGAGGGAUGAAGGUCUUCGGAUCGUAAACCUCUGAAUCAGGGACGAAAGACGCGAAAGCGGGAUGACGGUACCUGAGUAAUAGCACCGGCUAACUCCGUG
rnacentral:rRNA from 1 species